UUUUUAAAAUGCUGGCAACCAUUCUAUUUGUUUGUUUACAUCAAUGUAUAAACUUUUUAUUUAUCUUAGUUGAGAGAUAUACAUAAAUAAGUAAAAGCGUAUUACACGCCUAAAACCAAUUAAUUUUUAUUUAUUUACAUUAGUUAAAGUAGGCACAUAUUUUUAUCAAGAUAUGAAUUUUUCUACAGAUAGAAUAAAGAAUUUUUUAUUUCUGCCAAAAAAUCAUGAAUAUGAUGAUGAACUGUAUGGUCCGUUAUUAAAGUUAGUUCCAUUUGGCAAAACAGUCCUAGUUAUUACAAGGCCGACGUCAUCGCCUGAACUGUUACCAUUAAUGGAACAAGCAGGAGUGCAGGUGUACAACAAUAAGCAAAGCCUGCGCCGGUUCAUUUUUAUAUGUAGUGAUAAUAUCAUUGGAGUUAUUAAAAUAUUGUUUGAUAUACACAGGUGGGCGGUCAAACCUCAUAUAAUUGUAUUGGAUCUAAAUACAUUUAGUUUAAUGGAAAAUGAAAAUACACACAUUCCAAAUGAAAUGUGUAAAGAUUUGUCAAGCGGGACUCCAUUAAAACUUGUUAUGCUAUGUAUUGCUACAUUAUUUAAUAAGAUGAAUGUAUUAAACAACAUGCACUCGAACGCUGUAGAAGGCGACAAAGAAUCCUCGAAAAUAUUUAGCGUUGUAGUGUUACCAAAGUCUAGUAGACUACUAACUGAAGAAGACAUUGAGCUUGUCAUCAAUAUGUUCUAUUGUAACAAUGCAUACGAAAAUUUUACUAACAUUUUCGAGUUGAUCUAUUUAACAGUUUCUCCUGAUAAAGUUUUAGAAUAAAAAUAACAAUUAAAUUUGCUGAGUAGAAAAAUAGUUUGGCUUAAAGUACACUUUAGGAUCCUAAUAACAUUGUUGUUUAGUAGAAUAGCAAAAUUAUGUUUUCCGAUCCAAUCCAAGUUGCGAUACUGCAGAUGCUCGCAGAGUUUUGCACGGUCUAAAAUUGAACAUUGUUUGACACUACUACGCCAUUCAGAUAACCAGAGUUCCUCGAAUCACCGUUGCCGUCACCUGUAACAAGUGAUUCCGAAAUUGGCCCAGUAGCAGCCAUUUUGUCUUUAUAAUUAUUUUUAUAUACUUAAAUACAGAUUUAAUUUGGCCUGAAAGAGAGAAAUGCUUUUGAUUUUUCUUGAUUCCCAAUUCGGCUCAAGACAAGCCUAACCACGAGUAUAAACCAAAGCGAAAAAUAAUGAAGUCAUGUGAUUUUUACAUCCAUAUUUAUUUGCCAUAAUAUAUUUAUGUACACAGUUUACGUAAUUAUCAUUUCAUAGCAAUAUUCGGCAACUAGAAUCCAAACCGUUCUAAAAAUAAAAAGUUACAAACUCACUUUUCCCUUUUCUAACCAAAGAACAAAAUCAGCCAUAUAUCUGAAUUGUCGCUUCAAUAAUCAGUGUAUAUAAUUAAGCCGCUAAUGAUUGUUAUUAUUCCGCCAAUCGAGCUGAUAUUAUGUAUUCUCGUCACAACAACCAGAUAGUCGAAUAUGUGCAUAUGGGUCGUUUGCGAUAUAUUUUCAUGCAGUUAACAUAACCCUCUGUUGAAGUUUUUCGUUUUUAGAUAAUUUUGUAUAGCUUUUAGUUUCGAAAUAUAAGCGUGCAUUUAAAAAACUGCAUUUUUAAAAUUUCGACUUGCUUUGCAAGCGCUCACCGAAGACUGCAUACAGCUCUAACGUUAAAUAAAUUAUGUGUUAACCUAAUGAUAUUCCAUAGGAUAUAUGUAUGUGUGUAUGUGAAUUAAAUCGAAUUUGUAGCAAUGUGAAUGCACUUGAAUGAAGUGGCUAACUAAUUAGAAAUAAAAAUUACACUGCAAAUCAGUACGCCAAUUUACCAUGUGUAAAGAAAUUAAAUAAAAUAAUUAAAUAAAAAUAAAUUGACCCUGUAACAACACCAGAAACGUAAACUGUUUUGAUGAGCUAAAAUAUAAAAUUUUUAGGUCCUGUUUUCGAAGUUGCCGGUUUAAUGUGUACACUACACUUGCCAUGUUAAAAGUCUGUUUAACAUUAGAUUAUCAUCGUGGACUUUUCUUACCACAAGGAUGUAUUCUUACUAUUCAAUAUUUCAAAGCAGCAGCAACAAAUUUCUGUUUGAUGAUGUUUCUCUUUUUUUAAUAUUAAUGUUUAAAUUUAUAAUGAUUUAUUAUAUAGCAUGAUGUGUCGUGAUUAUUUAAUAUUUUCUGUAUACUUUGUAUUUGCAUUUAACUAUGUAUGUAUGUAUAUAUAUAUUUUAUAUACAUAUAUAAAUUAAAAAUUUUGAUAUUUCAUCCUUGCAUUAGCAAUUCAUUAAAAAGAUCUUUUAUUUUUUUUUCGGUGUGUGAGUGUGUGUGUUUUGUUUUUAUGCAUGUGAUAUAGAUUUUGAAAUUAAAAAUAUCAAAUUUCUGUUCAAUGAAUGUUUCAUUUUUUUGUUGUUGUUUGGAACAAAAGAAAACUUAUCUAUUAGUUACAAGAAAAAUUAUCAACAUUAUUUUAGGCAUCUACAUACAUAUGUAAGUAUAUCGCAUACAUAAUAUUAUUCAACGAAAAGCCAAAAGAUCAACUCAAACCAUUUGAAUAAUUCUAUUUCAAUUAUAUGUGUAUUUUUUAAUUCACUUCGGUAAAUGUGAUACAUUUAAACCUACUUUUAUUUAUUUAUUACUAGUUUUGAUUGACAAAACCGUAAAUUUUAUAUUAAGAUAAAAACUAUUUUUUAGCACUAAAUCUAGUGGUGAAAGAACUUAUUUAUAAUUUUGUCACGACUCCAAAAAAUUUUAACUUUGACUCUUCUUCGUACGUUAUUUGUCCGAAAAGUGCAUCAUCUACUAUAUAUAAUAUUAUAUAUUUAUUCAAUAUUGUUUUGCUACUAUUCAAUUAUCAAAAAUACAAUUCAUUUUU